rnacentral:rRNA from 1 species
CGUGCUAAGGUAGCAUAGUAAUUUGUUUUUUAAUUGGAAACUAGUAUGAAAGGGUUAACCAAUUAAAAGGUUUGUAGAUACAGUACUAAUAUUAAAGUUUAGGUAAGAAUUCUUAAAUUUAAGUUAAGGGACGAUAAGACCCUGGAAGGUUUAUAUAUAGCUAUGGUUUGUUUUUAAACGGUAAUGUAUUUAACUGGGGUAGUUGUGGUGAUUAAACCAUAUAUAAUAAUAUAGGUCCUCUUAAUAGAGAUAAAUAAGGUAAGUUACUCCAGGGAUAACAGCGCAAUAAUUUUGGAGAGAUCUUAUCGAUAAAAUUGUUUGUGACCUCGAUGUUGAAUUAAAAAGUCUAUAUGGCGCAGCAGCUAUGAAAGAGGGUUUGUUCAACCCUUUAAAUUUUACAUGAUCUGAGUUUCAAACC